CUUUAAUCAAUGCAGUGUGCGUUUUAUUCCGUGCAAUAGCAACGUGUAUAUAAUAGUUAAAUCUGAAUACGGAAUAUAUCUGUGAUUUGCAGGGAAUUCGCUAUUUCCCCACACAACGUUAUUGUGUUAGUUAGUACUAUGUCUACUAUAGUGACAUAUUUUAGUAUGUGUGGUAUUGAUGCAGCUGUAUUAGGGAAUCAACCGAAAGGAAGAAAGUGGCAAUGCAUGCAGCACGCAGGACUCUUGUUCAUGUGUAAAGAAAUGUGAGCACCGUGUGAAACAAUGUGUAAAUGUGUCCAGUAGGGAACAUUUCUGAACAUGAAUGGCACUAACCCAACCUACGUGAUGUAUAGGAGACGUAGGAAGGAAAGUUGUGGAGGGGUCCCAGUGAUGUGUCAUAGUUAUUUAAGGGGGGGGGGAUGUUAACUUUGGGAGAAUUUAAUAAUGCUCAUGUGUUAAUAAAUUUCAAAAAUUGUUUUAUUUCGAAUAAGGGAAUUUUAGAAAACUGUCGAAAAUGUUCGGGAUUUGAAUACUUUUUGCUGACCAUGGUUCACAUUUCUUCGUGAUGUGUGGAGAAACUGAUCAUAUCUGAGAGAUAUCCUGCAAGAAAUUACGAAUUUGUGAAGGUGAUCUGAUGUAUUAAUUCUUUGUUCCAAGAAGAGAAUUUUGAAAGUUAAAAAUAAUCUUCCAGUUUUACUGCAAACAGCAAUAGUGGAACAUAAUAGUUCGAAAAGUAGUGAAUCUACAGUUCAAGCCCUACUGAAGGAAUUCUCUCUAAACAUAAGUUCCUAGCUAUGUUUAAAAUUAAUGAACACUGACAGAGUUUGACACAUACCGCUAUAAAAUUGCUGUAUCGGCUCCACUGAACAAUUUUGGUCCCAGACUGAGAUAUAUUACAGCAGAAACACUGGUAAAAAUGGAUUUGGAACAAAGGCGUGAGAAAAAAUAUUUGAAGAGUGGAAACUCUUCAUUGUGGAGCAAAGGGCAUUAUUCCUUACAUCCAUAUCACCAAGAAAGCACCAAAGAUUUUACAGGAUAGCUAGUCACUGGUAGGAAGCAGCUGUUACAAAGGAGAUUCUUCAUGACCAACUGUGAAUUUUGACUGUUAACUUACAGUUCAUAACUGAGACCUCCAACUGACAAGCUUCGGUCAGUUGUAGGUCUCAGUUGGUUAAAUUACUCCUGGACUUCACCAUUACAGAUAUUCCUGUCUUCAGUCUCCUCGAAAGCUAUGACCAAUAUUUUUAUUCUCUCCUAGACGUGCACGUCUAUGGAAAUGGGAACUCCUCUUCGACAAAGGAGUUCCCGUUGGCCCUUGCUAUAUGGCCUCAGCACAUACCACAGAGAAAACACCACUUCUAACCAUUCCUUUGUUGUGUAUUAAUUUGUUGCUGCAGAAACAUGUUUACUGUGCCGUUGCCUUGCAACGACAACCUCUUCUUCCACUAUUUUGGCUUUCAACAAUCGGUUCACAAUGACAUACAAUAAACAGGUAUUAGAAUAAAAGAUAAAUAAAAGCAAUCCUGAAGAUUUCUAAAAAAGGGGGGGGAUUAAAUGCACUACAAAACAAGAGAUGCUGUCAGUAAACAUAAAUGAUAACAUAAUAAAAAAUGUUAAACUCACAGUAAACUCUCAAAAUAUUUACUUCUUAACAAUUGUAGAAACAAUGAACAGUGCUGCUAAUAACGGCGAUAUUUUUUGAUAUAAUUACAGGUACUCCUAAAUUUACAUAAGAGUUGUGUUCCAGAAGAAAUUUGCAGAGGGUGUAAUUGCAUAAAUUGAACACACUUUUCCCAUAAGAAUCAAUGAGAAACUCUGAAGUCUGCUGCAGAAAUUCUCAGUAUUCUUGUCCAUACUUAAACUGAUUGUCCUGUGCAGUGCAGUACAUCAGUGAUCCUUAUAUGUUUCGUUGCUCAUACUGUCUGAUUUCUCAUGUAAUAGUAGAGGUUCAGAAAGAUUGUGUGGCCGCACCAAAUUCAACCUUUCCCUCUGCAUUCCUUCACCACUUUCCGUGCAGUCCUAUGCUCUCUCUCUCUCUCCCCAACUCUCAAUUGGGCAGCAAACAAUUUGCAUUACAGUGGAUGCUGUUAAUUUAGUCUUGUCUAAUUAGUUGAUUGGAUUAAAAUUAGAUCACAUUUUUAUGAACUGAUAUACCUGUAGCAUGGAAUACCUCUACUUAGCUAUUAUACUGUGUUAUCUGAGACAUCUGUAUGUGUAUUAUAUUUAUAUUUAUACUGGAAAUAAAAAUUAAUUUACUACUACCAUGCAGUUCUGCAUGCUUGGCUUAGACUUAUGCAAUUUGUAUAUUCUGCAAAUUAAUUUUAUUUUUUUCUAGUCUACAAAACUAACAUCAUUCCUAAUUUUGUUAAUUUGCUAUAUCUAUAUUAUAUUUAAGCAUCCUGUUACACUCUACACAAUAUAUGACAUAAACUCCGUCUUAAGUGUAACAAUUUAAUGUAGUUCUUUCGUCUUCCUUUCUUCUACACUAUACGUUUCGGCCGCAAAUGGCCAUCAACAGGUGUAUACUCUCACGUAGCUGCUGCACUGCAUGUAGUUUAAAAUUUAAAAAUCACUAGUCUUCUCAAUUGUUCAUUUCGGCGUUGCUGACAGGUUUCGAUAUAUCAGAAUCUUCCCCGCUGAUAUCAGUCAGAUAUGUACAAAAUCUCUGUUAUCCUA